rnacentral:rRNA from 1 species
UACGGAGGGGGGCAAGCGUUGUUCGGAAUUACUGGGCGUAAAGGGCGCGUAGGCGGUCUUGUAAGUCCUGUGUGAAAUCCCCCGGCUCAACUGGGGAGGGUCACGCGAUACUGAUCGACUCGAAGGCAGGAGAGGGUAGUGGAAUUCCCGGUGUAGUGGUGAAAUGCGUAGAUAUCGGGAGGAACACCAGUGGCGAAGGCAGAUCUCUGGGCCGUAACUGACGCUGGAGGAGACGAAAGCAUGGGGGAGCGAACAGG